rnacentral:misc_RNA from 1 species
UGCAGCAGAGGAUGGCCUCAUCGAG